UGCUGUGAUAAUGAAAUCAAAACACAUGCAUCCUGCAUCCAUGAAAGUGGAUAGACAAGACAUGCACUACUACAUGUAUGCUGUGCCUGGCUCAAGAUUCCUAUAUGUAGCCAGGCUGCCCUACCGACACUGGUAAAAUGAAUGCUUCCUUGAACAAAGCUAACCAAAGGUGCCAUCAACUGUCUUAAUCUGAACAGGAAGGAAGCCUAGUUUUCAACAUAGACAACAGCUUGUGUGAAGCUGUCACUUUCAGGGUGUGCACCACCCAGUGUUCAUUUGUUAACAUCAAUAAUGUGUGACCACGAAAGGAAACCCUUCUGAAGGUAACAUCUCUCGACCAUUCUAAGAUCCUGUUAACAAUCCACUACCUUAAUAUUAACAGGUCUUUUAAAUAACCAUGCAUUAACUAUUCCUCUGAUAAUGCUUGUUAUGUUUUCAAAUAGGUUAAUGUUCUUUCAUCCUGAUUUUUCAAAGAUAAGUAUCACUUGAGUUUGUUUUUAUUGCAAGUGUGAUGCAUGUAAUUUCAUCUUCAUGUUUUCUCAGAUCGAAGAUCCUGCUCGCAGCUAUGCCUCAUUGCCUACCAUGGCC